rnacentral:tRNA from 1 species
CGUCACGACGGGGUGCGAGGGGCCGGGGGGCGUUCCGGCCGGUCCUGGCGGCGGUACGACUCCGCCGGCGGCGCCC